rnacentral:rRNA from 1 species
UACGUAGGGUGCGAGCGUUGUCCGGAAUUAUUGGGCGUAAAGAGCUUGUAGGCGGUUUGUCGCGUCUGCUGUGAAAAUCCGGGGCUCAACCCCGGACUUGCAGUAGGUACGGGCAGACUGGAGUGUGGUAGGGGAGACUGGAAUUCCUGGUGUAGCGGUGGAAUGCGCAGAUAUCAGGAGGAACACCGAUGGCGAAGGCAGGUCUCUGGGCCACUACUGACGCUGAGAAGCGAAAGCAUGGGGAGCGAACAGG